rnacentral:tRNA from 1 species
UGGGCCUAUAGCUCAGCUGGCUAGAGCACACGACUGAUAAUCGUGAGGUCAGUGGUUCGAGUCCACUUGGGCCCACCAA